CAAGAGACAGGAUCCCCCACACUGCAGACUACACGUGGGUAAAUGGAGAAAUGUCUGCAUGACAAGUGACUCAGAAGACACCAUCAAAAGGAAAGCUCUAGGACAUCAGUCUGCACCCAGCCCUGGAUGAAUUCCAGUGUCCAACCAGAGGAGCAGAGCAGGACAGCCCAAAGCUGGCAGGAGCAGGUGUUUUUCUAAGUGUCCCAUGGCACAAGAGACACCUUCAGCUGGAAACAUCACGAGGUUCAAAAGGAGCACCACAUGCUAAAGUACUCCAACAUGAUGGACAAAGAUAAGUUUUAGAUCAUAUUCAUGUGGGAGCAUCUGCAGAUGUGUAAGGGUUGGGGUUUGGAUACAAAAAUGAACUAUCUGAGCUGCUGACGUAGAAAGAUA
rnacentral:lncRNA from 1 species